rnacentral:rRNA from 1 species
ACUGUGGUAAUUAUGAUUGAAGAGCUUGCUCGGAGAGAUUAAUACAAUGCAGUCAGUGGCGAACGGGUGAGUAACACGUGGGAAACCUACUCUUAGCAGGGGAUAACAUUUGGAAACAGAUGCUAAUACCGUAUAACAAUUGAACCGCAUGGUUCAGUUUAAAAGAUGGUUCUGCUAUCACUAAGAGAUGGUCCCGCGGCGAUUAGCUAGAUGGUGAGGUAAUGGCUCACCAUGGCAAUGAUACGUAGCCGAGUUGAGAGACUGAUCGGCCACAUUGGGACUGAGACACGGCCCAAACUCCUACGGGAGGCAGCAGUAGGGAAUCUUCCACAAUGGACGAAAGUCUGAUGGAGCAACGCCGCGUGUGUGAUGAAGGCUUUCGGGUCGUAAAACACUGUUAUAAGAGAAGAACGUCAGUGAGAGUAACUGUUCAUUGAGUGACGGUAUCUUAUCAGAAAGGGACGGCUAAAUACGUG